rnacentral:misc_RNA from 1 species
GAUGAAGAACGUAGCAAAAUGCGAUAAGUAAUGUGAAUUGCAGAAUUCAGUGAAUCAUCGAAUCUUUGAACGCACAUUGCGCCCGCCAGUAUUCUGGCGGGCAUGCCUGUUCGAGCGUCAUUUCAACCCUCAAGCACAGCUUGGUGUUGGGACUCGCGUUAAUUCGCGUUCCUCAAAUUGAUUGGCGGUCACGUCGAGCUUCCAUAGCGUAGUAGUAAAACCCUCGUUACUGGUAAUCGUCGCGGCCACGCCGUUAAACCCCAACUUCUGAAUGUUGACCUCGGAUCAGGUAGGAAUACCCGCUGAACUUAAGCAUAUCAAUAAGCGGACGA